UUACUCCUAAAGGUAUGUAAAAGCUUAUUAUAGAUCCGAUGAGCUUGUACAAUGGAUCAGGUAUCUGACAUGAGCCAUUCACCAAUACUGAGCUAAGAUUCUGAAACAUAAUAGUUCAAUGUAAUUCAUUUUCAACUAAUUAUGGUAAUUUUCAUUAAAAACAAUCAUUUUAGCAGUGAUGACUAUUAGGUACACAGAUCGCCGUAGAAGAAAUCAAAAGAAAUAAUUAAUUGCAAAAAUGUGACAGAAGAAAGUUAUAACAAUGACACUGAUAAGAACUUUUACAAAAUUGUUUGAAUAAUUAUAAUAAACUAAUAUGUAUUAAAAAUACGAUAAAAAGUGUGUUUACUUACUUUUGAG